AGCAGCAGUGGGGAAUAUUGCACAAUGGGCGCAAGCCUGAUGCAGCCAUGCCGCGUGUGUGAAGAAGGCCUUCGGGUUGUAAAGCACUUUCAGUCGUGAGGAAGGUGGUAGUGUUAAUAGCACUAUCAUUUGACGUUAGCGACAGAAGAAGCACCGGCUAACUCCGUGCCAGCAGCCGCGGUAAUACGGAGGGUGCGAGCGUUAAUCGGAAUUACUGGGCGUAAAGCGCAUGCAGGUGGUUUGUUAAGUCAGAUGUGAAAGCCCGGGGCUCAACCUCGGAACUGCAUUUGAAACUGGCAGACUAGAGUACUGUAGAGGGGGGUAGAAUUUCAGGUGUAGCGGUGAAAUGCGUAGAGAUCUGAAGGAAUACCGGUGGCGAAGGCGGCCCCCUGGACAGAUACUGACACUCAGAUGCGAAAGCGUGGGGAGCAAACAGGAUUAGAUACCCUGGUAGUCCACGCUGUAAACGAUGUCUACUUGGAGGUUGUGGCCUUGAGCCGUGGCUUUCGGAGCUAACGCGUUAAGUAGA
rnacentral:rRNA from 1 species